AACGAACGCUGGCGGCGCGCCUAACACAUGCAAGUCGAACGAGAAUCCGGGGCAACCCGGUAGUAAAGUGGCAAACGGGUGAGGAAUACAUGGGUAACCUACCCUUGAGAAGGGAAUAACCCGCCGAAAGGUGAGCUAAUACCCUAUACGCUAUCUUUUUUCGAAAGGAUAGAAAGCCGGGUCGAGGACCUGGUACUCAAGGAGGGGCGUCAUGUCCUAUCAGCUUGUUGGUGGGGUAACGGGCCUACCAAGGCUACGACGGGUAGCUGGUCUGAGAGGAUGAUCAGCCACACUGGCACUGAGAUACGGGCCAGACUCCUACGGGAGGCAGCAGUGAGGAAUAUUGCGCAAUGGGCGAAAGCCUGACGCAGCGACGCCGCGUGGGGGAGUGAAGGUUUUCGGUAUUGU
rnacentral:rRNA from 1 species